UUAACUCAAAUUUGUAUCGAGUUAGAACAGCUUCCAUACAUUUGCCGCUAGGGGCGCUGUUCCAACUCCAUACAAGUUUGAGUUA
rfam:Bombyx mori DNA, contig: Bm_scaf37_contig21856, strain: p50T/Dazao, build 2, whole genome shotgun sequence.